rnacentral:rRNA from 1 species
CGCGUCUUAAGCAUGCAAGUCGGACGGCAAGGGUUGUGCUUGCACAACUCCUAGAGUGGCGGACUGGUGAGUAACGCGUGGGUGACCUGCCCUCGAGAUGGGGAUAGCCAUUAGAAAUAGUGGAUAAUACCGAAUACGCUCAUGACCCUGUGGGGAUAUGAGGAAAACAGGCUACGGCCUGGCUCGAGGAUGGGCCCGCGUCCCAUUAGCUAGUUGGUGAGGUAACGGCCCACCAAGGCGACGAUGGGUAUCCGGCCUGAGAGGGUGUACGGACACAUUGGGACUGAGAUACGGCCCAAACUCCUACGGGAGGCAGCAGCUAAGAAUAUUCCGCAAUGGACGAAAGUCUGACGGAGCGACGCCGCGUGGAUGAAGAAAGGCCGGAAGGUUGUAAAAUCCUUUUUGCUGAUGAAGAAUAAGUGUGGUAGGGAAUGACCGCAUGAUGACAUUAGUCGGUGAAUAAGCCCCGGCUAACUACGUGCCAGCCGCAGC